GUUUGAUCCUGGCUCAGGAUGAACGCUAGCGGCAGGCUUAACACAUGCAAGUCGAGGGGUAAGGUCUCUUCGGAGAUACACGACCGGCGCACGGGUGAGUAACGCGUAUGCAACCUACCUAUAACAGGGGGAUAGCCCGGAGAAAUUCGGAUUAAUAUCCCAUAACAUUUUCCAUUCGCAUGUUUGGAUUAUUAAAGUUCCGGCGGUUAUAGAUGGGCAUGCGUGACAUUAGCUGGUUGGUGAGGUAACGGCUCACCAAGGCAACGAUGUCUAUGGGGUCUUAAAGGAUGGUCCCACACACUGGUACUGAGACACGGACCAGACUCCUACGGGAGGCAGCAGUGAGGAAUAUUGGUCAAUGGGCGCAAGCCUGAACCAGCCAUGCCGCGUGCAGGAUGACGGUUCUAUGAAUUGUAAACUGCUUUUCUUCUCCACGAACACUCCAUACGUGUAUGGGAUUGACGGUAGAGGAGGAAUAAGCAUCGGCUAACUCCGUGCCAGCAGCCGCGGUAAUACGGAGGAUGCAAGCGUUAUCCGGAUUUAUUAGGUUUAAAGGGUGUGUAGGCGGAAUAAUAAGUCAGUGGUGAAAUCCUAUAGCUUAACUAUAGAACAGCCAUUGAUGCUGUCAUUCUUGAAUUCAGUUGAGGUAGGCGGAAUGUGUAAUGUAGCGGUGAAAUGCUUAGAUAUUACACAGAACACCGAUUGCGUAGGCAGCUUACUAGACUGUAAUUGACGCUGAUGCACGAAAGCGUGGGUAGCGAACAGGAUUAGAUACCCUGGUAGUCCACGCCGUAAACGAUGAUUACUCGUUGUGUGCGAUACACCGUACGUGACUGAGCGAAAGCAUUAAGUAAUCCACCUGGGGAGUACGUUCGCAAGAAUGAAACUCAAAGGAAUUGACGGGGGCCCGCACAAGCGGAGGAACAUGUGGUUUAAUUCGAUGAUACGCGAGGAACCUUACCUGGACUUAAAUGUAGAUUGACAGCUUUCGAAAGAAGGUUUUCUUCGGACAAUUUACAAGGUGCUGCAUGGCUGUCGUCAGCUCGUGCCGUGAGGUGUCGGGUUAAGUCCCAUAACGAGCGCAACCCCUAUCACUAGUUGCCAUCGGGUAAUGCCGGGGACUCUAGUGAGACUGCCACCGUAAGGUGUGAGGAAGGUGGGGAUGACGUCAAGUCAGCACGGCCCUUACGUCCAGGGCUACACACGUGUUACAAUGGCCGAGACAAAGGGCAGCUACCUGGUGACAGGAUGCUAAUCUCAAAACUCGGUCUUAGUUCGGAUUGAAGUCUGCAACUCGACUUCAUGAAGUUGGAUUCGCUAGUAAUCGUAUAUCAGCAAUGAUACGGUGAAUACGUUCCCGGGCCUUGUACACACCGCCCGUCAAGCCAUGGAAGCUGGGGGUACCUGAAGUCCGUAACCGUGAGGAUCGGCCUAGGGUAAAACUGGUAACUGGGGCUAAGUCA
rnacentral:rRNA from 1 species